rnacentral:rRNA from 1 species
AAUCCAGACUCCUACGGGAGGCAGCAGUGGGGAAUAUUGCACAAUGGGGGAAACCCUGAUGCAGCGACGCCGCGUGAGUGAAGAAGUAUUUCGGUAUGUAAAGCUCUAUCAGCAGGGAAGAAAAUGACGGUACCUGAUUAAGAGGCCCCGGCUAACUACGUGCCAGCAGCCGCGGUAAUACGUAGGGGGCAAGCGUUAUCCGGAUUUACUGGGUGUAAAGGGAGCGUAGACGGCAGCGCAAGUCUGAAGUGAAAUGCCGGGGCUUAACCCCGGAACUGCUUUGGAAACUGUGCAGCUAGAGUGCAGGAGAGGUAAGUGGAAUUCCUAGUGUAGCGGUGAAAUGCGUAGAUAUAUGGAAGAACACCAGUGGCGAAAGCGGCUCUCUGGUCUGUAACUGACGCUGAGGUUCGAAAGCGUGGGUAGCAAACAGGAUUAGAUACCCCGGUAGUU